rnacentral:rRNA from 1 species
UACGGGGGGAGCAAGCGUUGUUCGGAUUUACUGGGCGUAAAGGGCGCGUAGGCGGCCACCGCAAGUCGACUGUGAAAUCUCCGGGCUUAACCCGGAAAGGUCAGCCGAUACUGCGGGGCUAGAGUGCAGAAGGGGCAACUGGAAUUCUCGGUGUAGCGGUGAAAUGCGUAGAUAUCGAGAGGAACACCUGCGGCGAAGGCGGGUUGCUGGGCUGACACUGACGCUGAGGAGCGAAAGCUAGGGGAGCAAACGGG